UACGUAGGGAGCAAGCGUUGUCCGGAAUCAUUGGGCGUAAAGCGCGCGUAGGUGGCCUCAUAAGUCCGCUGUGAAAGUCAAAGGCUCAACCUUUGAAAGCCGGUGGAUACUGUGAGGCUAGAGUACGGAAGAGGCGAGUGGAAUUCCUGGUGUAGCGGUGGAAUGCGCAGAUAUCAGGAGGAACACCAAUAGCGAAGGCAGCUCGCUGGGACGUUACUGACACUGAGGAACGAAAGCCAGGGUAGCGAACGGG
rnacentral:rRNA from 1 species